rnacentral:tRNA from 1 species
AUAGCUCAGUGGUAGAGCGGAUCGCUGUUAACGAUUAGGUCGCUGGUUCGAGCCCAGCU